UACGGGGGGGGCAAGCGUUGUUCGGAAUCAUUGGGCGUAAAGAGCACGUAGGCGGCUUCGCAAGUCGGAUGUGAAAGCCCUCGGCUCAACCAAGGAAGUGCAUUCGAAACUGUGGGGCUUGAGUACAGAAGAGGAUCGCGGAAUUCCCGGUGUAGGGGUGAAAUUCGUAGAUAUCGGGAGGAACACCAGUGGCGAAGGCGGCGAUCUGGGCUGAUACUGACGCUGAGGUGAGAAAGCGUGGGGAGCAAACAGG
rnacentral:rRNA from 1 species